GCUCUGUGGGAUCAGUGGCGAACGGGUGAGUAACACGUGAGCAACCUGCCCCUGACUCUGGGAUAAGCGCUGGAAACGGCGUCUAAUACUGGAUAUGUGAUGUGACCGCAUGGUCUGCAUCUGGAAAGAAUUUCGGUUGGGGAUGGGCUCGCGGCCUAUCAGCUUGUUGGUGAGGUAAUGGCUCACCAAGGCGUCGACGGGUAGCCGGCCUGAGAGGGUGACCGGCCACACUGGGACUGAGACACGGCCCAGACUCCUACGGGAGGCAGCAGUGGGGAAUAUUGCACAAUGGGCGCAAGCCUGAUGCAGCAACGCCGCGUGAGGGACGACGGCCUUCGGGUUGUAAACCUCUUUUAGCAGGGAAGAAGCGAAAGUGACGGUACCUGCAGAAAAAGCGCCGGCUAACUACGUGCCAGCAGCCGCGGUAAUACGUAGGGCGCAAGCGUUAUCCGGAAUUAUUGGGCGUAAAGAGCUCGUAGGCGGUUUGUCGCGUCUGCUGUGAAAUCCGGAGGCUCAACCUCCGGCCUGCAGUGGGUACGGGCAGACUAGAGUGCGGUAGGGGAGAUUGGAAUUCCUGGUGUAGCGGUGGAAUGCGCAGAUAUCAGGAGGAACACCGAUGGCGAAGGCAGAUCUCUGGGCCGUAACUGACGCUGAGGAGCGAAAGGGUGGGGAGCAAACAGGCUUAGAUACCCUGGUAGUCCACCCCGUAAACGUUGGGAACUAGUUGUGGGGUCCAUUCCACGGAUUCCGUGACGCAGCUAACGCAUUAAGUUCCCCGCCUGGGGAGUACGGCCGCAAGGCUAAAACUCAAAGGAAUUGACGGGGACCCGCACAAGCGGCGGAGCAUGCGGAUUAAUUCGAUGCAACGCGAAGAACCUUACCAAGGCUUGACAUAUACGAGAACGGGCCAGAAAUGGUCAACUCUUUGGACACUCGUAAACAGGUGGUGCAUGGUUGUCGUCAGCUCGUGUCGUGAGAUGUUGGGUUAAGUCCCGCAACGAGCGCAACCCUCGUUCUAUGUUGCCAGCACGUAAUGGUGGGAACUCAUGGGAUACUGCCGGGGUCAACUCGGAGGAAGGUGGGGAUGACGUCAAAUCAUCAUGCCCCUUAUGUCUUGGGCUUCACGCAUGCUACAAUGGCCGGUACAAAGGGCUGCAAUACCGCGAGGUGGAGCGAAUCCCAAAAAGCCGGUCCCAGUUCGGAUUGAGGUCUGCAACUCGACCUCAUGAAGUCGGAGUCGCUAGUAAUCGCAGAUCAGCAACGCUGCGGUGAAUACGUUCCCGGGUCUUGUACACACCGCCCGUCAAGUCAUGA
rnacentral:rRNA from 1 species